rnacentral:misc_RNA from 1 species
AACUGAUACUACCUGCGGGAACCUGCGGAAGGAUCAUUACAGAGUGUAACCCCCUGUAAAAUGGGGGUACCUCCCGUCCUUUGCAGGCCCUUUAGGGUCUUUUACACUUUGCUUCGGUGGGGUAACCCACCGGAACACUCUCAAAAAAUUCUGAUUUUAAAAUUGUUCAGUCUGAGAAUUUUGAAAAUAAAAUAAAAACUUUCAACAACGGAUCUCU